ACUGAUACAAGGUAAGAUAAGAGAAAAUAGACCAAGGUGGUUUUUUGACUUAUCUAUUAUAGAUCGACCAACGCAUUGUUAGGAGGAGUAAUAUUGUUACGGUACAUUGAGGGUAACAAUAAAGGGAGGGGUAAGCCGAAAUUGACACUAGAUGCAGUUGUUCAAAAGGAUCUAGGUGUUUUGAGUAUUACAGAACACGAUGACCUCGAUUGAGCUUUAUAUAAUUAAUGAAAAGAAUAAGUUCACGUACUCAAUCCCAAUUAAUUGAGACUUAAGGCUGUGUUUAGUUUGAUUUGGCUACAUGAUCAAAGUUAUACGGAGUAGGCUGGGGUAUCUGGGAGAGGGGGAAAAAAGUCUACUGUACUAGAUCAGGGAUUCUUGUCCCUAUUGGGCAAGCUCAUGGUCAAUCUGCAAAAAAAUAUGUAAGUUGUGGGAAUAAUAAAGGAUGCUGAUUUUGCCACUCUCUUUUGUUAACGUCACUCCCUUGUAAGUGUAUUUUUGGUGUAAAAAUACACUUGCAGUGGAGUGGCGUUAAUAAAAAAGGGAGUGGCAAAAUCAAUUCCCAUAAUAAAAUGCACUAUUACACUCAAAACAUGCCAACUCCCAGUAGGAACUACUAUAUUUAUAGUGAGGGUCCGGCAGACCACCGCACACUAGGCUGUGGAUAAUAUGCAUAGAAAAUGUCCACCAAGUUAGAAUCAUAAUACACAUCUCACGGAUAUUAAUACACCUUCUCACGUUUCAAAACACUUUUCUCAUAUAUUGAUAAACUUUCUACAUAUUAUCCACCGUCCGAAGGAUGGUCGUUCGCAUUUUCCUAAUAACCUAGGACUGCCUUUUCAUGCUUUCGAAACCAAUACUGAUGUUUGGUUGGCGCACUUUGCAAUCCAACUCUGUUUCCUUACGAAGUCCAACUAUGACGUUUGGUUCGAGUGGCAUAAAGAAUGAAAUAAGAUCAUGCUUAAUUUGCUGGACUAGUAGUGAUGACAUAUUCUGUGAUCUGGUACUGCAAAUUCUUUUCACCCUAGCCCCUCUGAGCCAGCAGAAAUUUCCUUGGUUUCGUGCUAGUAUCCCGAGAUGGAGAUCCUUGCCGCUCAAUGCCGUCACAUUGGUGGUUGAUGGGGUUGGAAGGAAAGAAAACUUUGGAGUAGCAUCGGGUUUACUGCUAGUCGUCCGUAUGGUUCUCUCAUUAGUCGAGUCUCAUAUCCUCGCUCUAGCUCUAACCUGCAGCAGGCAAAACAAAUGGCUCUUCUUCUCCUUGUUUUAGACAGUGUCAUUCUCAUAAUUUUGAAGUUGGCCAUUUUCCUUUUACCGUAUUGAUGCCGUCUUGCAAAUGGCAGUGUUUGAUAGCCCAGACAAGUUAUUUGUGGCGCCUUUCCUAGAAGAAUUCCGAAUUGAUCGACUCUCUAUAGGCUCGCGAAGGUUCCCGCAAGGAUAUCCACUCAGCUCAUGCUUUAGCAACAUAAACCAGUUGUAGGAGAUUCUCCUUUCCUCUUUUUUUUUGGUGCUAGCUCUAUUAAGACUUGGGAUAGAAAAGUGGUCACUACACUCACCACACUUUCUGUGUACUGUAUACCUCAUGUUUUGUAAAAAUUGAGUGUUGAAAGGAUAUAUAAUCUAUGAAUAUAACCGAAAAUUAAAAACUAAGAAUUAAAAAUUUAAGAGUUGAAAACAGAAUACUCAAGUUUGUAAGUUGAAAAGUUGUUUAAUAAAAAAAUUACGACUGAAUUAAAAUAAAUAAUUCGAUACAAAGAUCAAUGACUUCUGAAUACUAUUACUUUCAGUUAUUCUCUUUUAAUUUAUUAAUGUCUGGCAUAUGUUUGUGAUGAAGAGAUGGCAGGCCAUGGUGUGGCGGUAGAGAGGUGGGGGUUGCAAGUUAGUGGAGUGGUAGAGAGAUAGGGAUCAAGGUGGCUAGCGGUGGUGUUGGUGAAGGUAGUUGUAGCGAAGGCGGUAGUGGUGAAAAGGUAGUGACUACAUGUAGUAGUGUGGGCAAGAGAUGGCGAUGGUGGCAGUGGUGGUGGUUGUAGCGGGGAGAGGGGGUAGAUAGAUGGAGGUGACGAGGGCUGGUGUUGGUGAUGACGAUAAGGACAAGUGAUGUAGUCGUGGAAGGAUCCAUACUAUACUGUUAACACCUAGCCACUGAAACGCCGACGGCUAAACUUAACAGUUUAUCAGAUACACAAUAUAGCUUUUUGAAAUCGAGCCAAAGCAUCAUGUAGAGACCAUUACCGUUCAGAAAAGGCAAAUAUAGCGUACUUCCAAAAGAGCAUCCUGCAUCCCAAAUAACAUUAUAAAGCAGGUUUUAGUCCUAGUAUGGAUCAUCAAUUCAUUGGCUGAUUACCAGUC